rnacentral:rRNA from 1 species
UACGUAGGGUGCGAGCGUUAAUCGGAAUUACUGGGCGUAAAGCGUGCGCAGGCGGUGAUGUAAGACAGGUGUGAAAUCCCCGGGCUUAACCUGGGAACUGCAUUUGUGACUGCAUCGCUGGAGUGCGGCAGAGGGGGAUGGAAUUCCGCGUGUAGCAGUGAAAUGCGUAGAUAUGCGGAGGAACACCGAUGGCGAAGGCAAUCCCCUGGGCCUGCACUGACGCUCAUGCACGAAAGCGU